UGCUUCCCGAACGGGCCCCUCAGAACAACCCACUGGGUCCGAGAUAGUCGCCACUCUCCCUGUGGCAGAGGUCCCAGAGAGAAACGUGGAAGCCUCACGCACAUUUGACGCGGAGGAGGUUGAUGCAGGCAGGCUUGUUCACAGGCGCAGACGCCCUAGUACUGGUGGUGCAUCCGGUGCUGGUGAGGAAGAUGUCCAGAUUGUGGACAUUACUGGUGAAGUUCCUUCUCCCGACUCAGCCCAGGACAUCG
rnacentral:lncRNA from 1 species